rfam:Neotoma lepida isolate 417 scaffold_370, whole genome shotgun sequence.
UGGCUUAGUGGUUAAGAGCACUGGCUGCUCUUCCAGAGGACCUGGGUUCAAUUCCCAG